CCCUUAGAUGUUCUGGGCUGCACGCGUGCUACAAUGGCGCUUGCAACAAGUCUUGCCAACCCGAUAGGGUGAGCGGAUCUUUGAAGAGGCGUCGUGAUCGGGACAGUUGAUUGCAAUUAUUCGACUCGAACGAGGAAUUCCUUGUAAUCGCGAUUCAUCAUAUCGCGCUGAAUACGUCCCUGCCCUUUGUACACACCGCCCGUCGCUCCUACCGAUUGAGUGGUCCGGUGAGGCUUUGGGAUCUGAGCGGAAAGAGCGUUUCGCUGUUUCUGCUCGGAAAACUCAGUCGAACCUUAUCAUUUAGAGGAAGGAGAAGUCGUAACA
rnacentral:rRNA from 1 species